GGGCCCGCACAAGCGGUGGAGUAUGUGGUUUAAUUCGAUGAUACGCGAGGAACCUUACCAGGGCUUAAAUGUAGUCUGACAGGGGUGGAAACACCCCCUCCUUCGGGCAGAUUACAAGGUGCUGCAUGGUUGUCGUCAGCUCGUGCCGUGAGGUGUCAGGUUAAGUCCUAUAACGAGCGCAACCCCUGCCGUUAGUUGCCAGCAUGUAAUGAUGGGAACUCUAACGGGACUGCCGGUGCAAACCGCGAGGAAGGUGGGGAUGACGUCAAAUCAUCACGGCCCUUACGUCCUGGGCUACACACGUGCUACAAUGGCCGGUACAGAGGGCAGCCACACCGCAAGGUGGAGCGAAUCCUUAAAACCGGUCUCAGUUCGGAUCGGGGUCUGCAACUCGCCUACGUGAAGGCGGAAUCGCUAG
rnacentral:rRNA from 1 species